rnacentral:tRNA from 1 species
GCCGGGGUAGCUCAAUCGGUUAGAGCGUCCGUUUCAUAAGCGGAAGGUUUGUGAGUUCGAUUCUCACCCCCGGCA